CCAUGACUUAUCAAGCCUUAGCAUGGAAAAACCGGGCCCCAGAGUCCCCGCAGUUCCUGUUGAUCUUUUCUUCUUCAGGUCAGAAGCAAAAUUUGGAUGAAGCAAUCUAACUAAGUUGCCGUCAUGAGCAGAAGCAAGCGUGACAACAAUUUCUACAGUGUUGAAAUUGGAGAUUCUACUUUCACUGUAUUGAAGCGAUAUCAGAACUUAAAACCCAUAGGAUCAGGAGCACAAGGGAUAGUAUGUGCAGCUUAUGAUGCCAUCCUUGAACGAAAUGUUGCAAUCAAGAAGCUAAGCCGGCCAUUUCAGAACCAAACUCAUGCUAAAAGAGCCUACAGAGAGCUUGUUCUUAUGAAGUGUGUUAACCACAAAAAUAUAAUUGGCCUACUGAAUGUGUUCACACCACAAAAAUCCCUGGAAGAAUUUCAAGAUGUUUACAUAGUGAUGGAACUCAUGGAUGCAAAUCUCUGCCAAGUGAUUCAGAUGGAGCUAGACCAUGAACGAAUGUCGUAUCUUCUGUAUCAAAUGCUGUGUGGUAUCAAACAUCUUCAUUCAGCUGGAAUUAUACAUAGGGAUUUAAAGCCCAGUAAUAUAGUAGUAAAGUCAGACUGCACUUUGAAGAUUCUUGACUUUGGAUUGGCCAGAACUGCAGGAACUAGUUUUAUGAUGACGCCUUAUGUAGUGACUCGUUACUACAGAGCACCAGAGGUCAUCCUAGGGAUGGGAUACAAAGAAAACGUUGACAUUUGGUCAGUUGGGUGCAUCAUGGGAGAAAUGAUCAAAGGUGGUGUUUUAUUUCCUGGUACAGAUCAUAUUGAUCAAUGGAAUAAAGUUAUAGAGCAACUAGGAACACCAUGCCCUGAAUUUAUGAAGAAAUUGCAGCCAACAGUCCGAACUUACGUGGAAAACAGACCUAAAUACGCUGGAUAUAGUUUUGAGAAACUCUUUCCAGAUGUCCUUUUCCCAGCUGAUUCUGAGCACAAUAAACUUAAAGCAAGUCAAGCAAGGGAUUUGUUAUCAAAAAUGCUGGUUAUAGAUGCUUCUAAAAGAAUCUCUGUGGAUGAAGCCCUGCAGCACCCAUAUAUCAAUGUUUGGUAUGAUCCGUCAGAAGCAGAAGCUCCUCCCCCAAAGAUACCAGAUAAGCAGUUAGAUGAGAGAGAGCACACGAUAGAAGAAUGGAAAGAGUUGAUAUACAAGGAAGUCAUGGACCUGGAGGAGAGAACCAAGAAUGGGGUUAUACGUGGACAACCACCCCCUUUAGGAUUUGUAGCUUGUCUGCAUUGAUUAAUCAUUCUAAACAAGGAGGAAUAUUAUGAAACACUUAAACUGUUGCUGAAUUUUGAAGCAAAAUGUGAGCAUUAAGUGACCAUUGAUAAACUCCAUUCCCACUUUUGAAAAAUGGUGGAAAGAGCUGGACAGCUGUCGCUGACUCAGAGUUCACAGAAGCCUGGAGCUUGGAGGAGCAGUGCAUAUCUCAAAUUGGAUGUGCAGCAAUGAUCAAUGGCUCUCAACAUCCAU